CGCGGGGACACCAGCUGUCCGGAGGGCUGGAGGCGCCAGAACCAGGGGCCUGCAGGGGACAAAGGGGUUCGCAGGAAGGCAUGAGACAGCAGGAGGUCUCCUCCCCCAGGCGCUAAAAGUGCCAGGGCCUUGCCUGGUGGCUCAGACCUGUAAUGCCAGCACAUUGGGAGGCUGACACCGGAGAAUCACCUGAGCCAGGAGAUUGAGCCCAGCCUGGGCAAUAUAGUGAGACUCCAUCUCUACAAAAUAAUAAAAUAAAUUACUAGCAAGGCGUGGUGGCAUGUGCCUGUGGUCCCAGCUACCAGGGAGGCUGAGGUGGGAGGAUCGCUUGAGCCCAGUAUUUUGAGGCUGCAGUGAGCCAUGAUCACACCACUGCACUGCGGCCCAGGCAACAAAGCA
rnacentral:lncRNA from 1 species